UCAAAAGCCAAAAAAGGCUGCUUGUUUUGACCAGUCAUACAGUGAUCUCACUGCCCCUCAGAUGUCGUGGGAUGUGUCUUUGAUUAAAGCAGAAAAUGGCUCCAUACCCUGCAUGGAGUCCAGUGCUCUGGAGUCAACAUGGAGUCCAAAACCCCAAUCCACACAACAUUCACCAGCAGAAGUUUCUCCCUGACAUGGCCUAGAAUGUCCCUCGAAACACAACCUUAACAUAGAGAAAAUUCAGCGUUUUGAAAGGAAGUGUAAGUGUAAGGUUUUCAGCCGUGCGUGAUUAUGUCUGCACAGAUGAAUCCGUUAAAAAAAUGAAAGUGGAUUUUAAACACUGGAUGUACAUGUGAAGGAUGCAUGUGUGAAGAUUCCUGCAGAGAGCUCUACGCUUUUAACAAAGUUUGCUUAAAUAUUUAAAUAAAAGUAUCUGACUAUU